rnacentral:rRNA from 1 species
UGGGGAAUUUUGCACAAUGGGGGAAACCCUGAUGCAGCGACGCCGCGUGAUUUAGAAGGCCUUCGGGUUGUAAAAAUCUUUUCUAUGGGAAGAAAAUGACAGUACCAUAGGAAUAAGGACCGGCUAAUUACGUGCCAGCAGCCGCGGUAAUACGUAAGGUCCGAGCGUUGUCCGGAAUCAUUGGGCGUAAAGGGUACGUAGGCGGGUAAGCGAGUUAGAAGUGAAAUCCUAUAGCUCAACUAUAGUAGGCUUUUAAAACUGCUCAUCUUGAGGUAUGGAAGGGAAAGUGGAAUUCCUAGUGUAGCGGUGAAAUGCGCAGAUAUUAGGAGGAAUACCGGUGGCGAAGGCGACUUUCUGGCCAUGUCCUGACGCUGGGGUACGAAAGCGUGGGUAGCAAACAGG